UCUGGUUGAUCCUGCCGGACCUGACUGCUAUCGGAUUGAUACUAAGCCAUGCGAGUCAUUGUAGCAAUACAAGGCAGACGGCUCAGUAACGCGUAGUCAAUCUACCCUAUGGACGGGAAUAACCUCGGGAAACUGAGAAUAAUGCCCGAUAGAACAUUAUGCCUGGAAUGGUUUAUGUUUCAAAUGAUUUAUCGCCAUAGGAUGGGACUGCGGCCUAUCAGUUUGUUGGUGAGGUAAUGGCCCACCAAGACUAUUACAGGUACGGGCUCUGAGAGGAGUAGCCCGGAGAUGGGUACUGAGACACGGACCCAGGCCCUAUGGGGCGCAGCAGGCGAGAAAACUUUGCAAUGUGCGAAAGCACGACAAGGUUAAUCCGAGUGGUUUCUGCUAAAGAAACCUUUUGUCAGUCCUAGAAACACUAACGAAUAAGGGGUGGGCAAGUUCUGGUGUCAGCCGCCGCGGUAAAACCAGCACCUCAAGUGGUCAGGAUGAUUAUUGGGCCUAAAGCAUCCGUAGCUCGUUUUGUAAGUUUUCGGUUAAAUCCAUGCGCUUAACGUAUGGGCUGCCGGGAAUACUGCAUAACUAGGAAGUGGGAGAGGUAGACGGUACUCGGUAGGAAGGGGUAAAAUCCUUUGAUCUAUUGAUGACCACCUGUGGCGAAGGCGGUCUACCAGAACACGUUCGACGGUGAGGGAUGAAAGCUGGGGGAGCAAACCGGAUUAGAUACCCGGGUAGUCCCAGCUGUAAACUAUGCAAACUCAGUGAUGCAUUGGCUUGUGGCCAAUGCAGUGCUGCAGGGAAGCCGUUAAGUUUGCCGCCUGGGAAGUACGUACGCAAGUAUGAAACUUAAAGGAAUUGGCGGGGGAGCACCACAAGGGGUGAAGCCUGCGGUUCAAUUGGAUUCAACGCCGGG
rnacentral:rRNA from 1 species